AGCGAACGCUGGCGGCAGGCCUAACACAUGCAAGUCGAACGAACCCUUCGGGGUUAGUGGCGGACGGGUGAGUAACACGUGGGAACGUGCCUUUAGGUUCGGAAUAACUCAGGGAAACUUGUGCUAAUACCGAAUGUGCCCUUCGGGGGAAAGAUUUAUCGCCUUUAGAGCGGCCCGCGUCUGAUUAGCUAGUUGGUGAGGUAAUGGCUCACCAAGGCUACGAUCAGUAGCUGGUCUGAGAGGAUGACCAGCCACAUUGGGACUGAGACACGGCCCAAACUCCUACGGGAGGCAGCAGUGGGGAAUCUUGCGCAAUGGGCGAAAGCCUGACGCAGCCAUGCCGCGUGGAUGAUGAAGGUCUUAGGAUUGUAAAAUCCUUUCACCGGUGAAGAUAAUGACUGUAGCCGGAGAAGAAGCCCCGGCUAACUUCGUGCCAGCCGCCGCUGUAAUAC
rnacentral:rRNA from 1 species